CCUACGGGAGGCAGCAGUGGGGAAUAUUGCACAAUGGGGGAAACCCUGAUGCAGCGACGCCGCGUGAGUGAAGAAGUAUCUCGGUACGUAAAGCUCUAUCAGCAGGGAAGAAAAUGACGGUACCUGACUAAGAAGCCCCGGCUAACUACGUGCCAGCAGCCGCGGUAAUACGUAGGGGGCAAGCGUUGUCCGGAAUCAUUGGGCGUAAAGAGUUCGUAGGUGGCAUAUUAAGUCUGGUGUUAAAUGCAGAAGCUCAACUUCUGUUCGGCACUGGAUACUGGUAAGCUUGAAUGCGGUAGAGGUAAAGGGAAUUCCUGGUGUAGCGGUGAAAUGCGUAGAUAUCAGGAGGAACAUCGGUGGCGUAAGCGCUUUACUGGGCCGUAAUUGACACUGAGGAACGAAAGCCGGGGUAGCAAAUGGGAUUAGAUACCCUUGUAGUC
rnacentral:rRNA from 1 species